AUUGAACGCUGGCGGCAGGCUUAACACAUGCAAGUCGAGCGGAGAUGAGGUGCUUGCACCUUAUCUUAGCGGCGGACGGGUGAGUAAUGCUUAGGAAUCUGCCUAUUAGUGGGGGACAACAUUCCGAAAGGAAUGCUAAUACCGCUUACGUCCUACGGGAGAAAGCAGGGGAACUUCGGACCUUGCGCUAAUAGAUGAGCCUAAGUCGGAUUAGCUAGUUGGUGGGGUAAAGGCCUACCAAGGCGACGAUCGGUAGCGGGUCUGAGAGGAUGAUCCGCCACACUGGGACUGAGACACGGCCCAGACUCCUACGGGAGGCAGCAGUGGGGAAUAUUGGACAAUGGGGGGAACCCUGAUCCAGCCAUGCCGCGUGUGUGAAGAAGGCCUUAUGGUUGUAAAGCACUUUAAGCGAGGAGGAGGCUACUGAGACUAAUACUCUUGGAUAGUGGACGUUACUCGCAGAAUAAGCACCGGCUAACUCUGUGCCAGCCGCCGCGGUAA
rnacentral:rRNA from 1 species